rnacentral:rRNA from 1 species
AGGGUUCGAUUCUGGCUCAGGAUGAACGCUGGCGGCGUGCUUAACACAUGCAAGUCGAACGGGAUCCCAGGAGCUUGCUCCUGGGUGAGAGUGGCGAACGGGUGAGUAAUGCGUGACCGACCUGCCCCAUACACCGGAAUAGCUCCUGGAAACGGGUGGUAAUGCCGGAUGCUCCAGUUGGAUGCAUGUCCUUCUGGGAAAGAUUCAUCGGUAUGGGAUGGGGUCGCGUCCUAUCAGCUUGAUGGCGGGGUAACGGCCCACCAUGGCUUCGACGGGUAGCCGGCCUGAGAGGGCGACCGGCCACAUUGGGACUGAGAUACGGCCCAGACUCCUACGGGAGGCAGCAGUGGGGAAUAUUGCACAAUGGGCGCAAGCCUGAUGCAGCGACGCCGCGUGCGGGAUGACGGCCUUCGGGUUGUAAACCGCUUUUGACUGGGAGCAAGCCCUUCGGGGUGAGUGUACCUUUCGAAUAAGCACCGGCUAACUACGUGCCAGCAGCCGCGGUAAUACGUAGGGUGCAAGCGUUAUCCGGAAUUAUUGGGCGUAAAGGGCUCGUAGGCGGUUCGUCGCGUCCGGUGUGAAAGUCCAUCGCUUAACGGUGGAUCCGCGCCGGGUACGGGCGGGCUUGAGUGCGGUAGGGGAGACUGGAAUUCCCGGUGUAACGGUGGAAUGUGUAGAUAUCGGGAAGAACACCAAUGGCGAAGGCAGGUCUCUGGGCCGUCACUGACGCUGAGGAGCGAAAGCGUGGGGAGCGAACAGGAUUAGAUACCCUGGUAGUCCACGCCGUAAACGGUGGAUGCUGGAUGUGGGGACCAUUCCACGGUCUCCGUGUCGGAGCCAACGCGUUAAGCAUCCCGCCUGGGGAGUACGGCCGCAAGGCUAAAACUCAAAG